rnacentral:rRNA from 1 species
AGAGUUUGAUCCUGGCUCAGGAUGAACGCUAGCUACAGGCUUAACACAUGCAAGUCGAGGGGAAACGAUAUUGGAAGCUUGCUUCCGAUAGGCGUCGACCGGCGUACGGGUGAGUAACGCGUAUCCAACCUGCCCACCACUUGGGGAUAACCUUGCGAAAGUAAGACUAAUACCCAAUGACGUCUCUAGAAGACAUCUGAAAGAGAUUAAAGAUUUAUCGGUGAUGGAUGGGGAUGCGUCUGAUUAGCUUGUUGGCGGGGUAACGGCCCACCAAACCGACGAUGGAUAGGGGUUCUGAGAGGAAGGUCCCCCACAUUGGUACUGAGACACGGACCAAACUCCUACGGGAGGCAGCA